UGGGCAACUGAAAUAUACUGGCUGGAGGGGUAUUUUCUGCUAUAAGAGGUCCUCUCCUUGAUGUGUAUGACAAGGACCAUAGAGGAUUUGUUCUAGGGUCUGAGUCUUUUUGCUGGCUUCAAAGGAGGCAACUACUAUUAAUCAUGCCGCUGUAAGGAAAUGAAUUCUGCCAACAAUGGAGAGAGCUUGACAACAGAUUUUUCUCCACUCAAGCAUCCAGAUGAGAACACAACCCAGCCAGCCCUCUGACGGAGGCCUGAAAACAUGCUGAAGCACAGAACCCAGCUCACACACACUGUGAGAUAGUAAGUGUGUGGUUUAAAACCUCAGGCUUGCCUUAUCUGUUGCCCAGCAAUAAAAAAACUCAUACAAAUUGUAAA